UUCAAAUAAUGUGAGAUAGCGUGUGCCUGUGCACUUCAUCGGGGCUCGUAGGCUUGUGAAUCCAACCAUGUGAACGGGCUCUGCAUUCACAGGAAAUCACUAUAGUUUCUUCAUGCAAUCAAUUAAAUGGUACAGUGCACAGUCAUCAAAAAUGGAGCAUCCCACUGCCUGUAGUGAAGUGCUUUAUCCUAAUCUUUGCCUGCCAAGUAUCAGAGGAACACCUAUCUCUAGACUGAAUAAAUGUAAAUAGAUGUAACUCUCAGCCUAAGUUAGCAAACUUUCCAAUUUCUGGAUGUAAACUGAGAGAAUAUAAUUUCCUCAUGCUCUUCCCGAGAAAACAUUUUAAGAAAUCACAGGUGGAGGAUUUGUGAUUUUAGGGGGCCAGCGCAGCAGGUCUCCCUCUGGUGCUGCAGCCAAAACAACGGAUUCACAAGUCCUGCAAAGGUGCAUUUGGCAAAGCAGCAGCAAUUCUGUAGUAGCUGAAAUACAAAUAAAGGCGAAAGGCAAAUGCCUGAGGAUGAGUCAGCCAGGAGCCGAAUGCAUUUUCUCCUAAGUGGGCUUUUCUGUAGAUCACACUGAGACUUAGAAACCAAGAUAAGGCUGCAGGUUCUGCGCUUGAACUUUUUACUAAUCUGUGAUUAAUUGCUAGAGAAUGACAUCAGAAAUGUCCCUGCUCUUUUCCUCCUUUCUUUUUUUUCCAGCUCCUAUUUCUUCAGCCUUCUGUUCUCGUGCCUUUUCCCUUUUCUCUUUCAUUUUUUCUCCUAAUUAAAUAUAAAGUACUGCACAUUCUUGUUUAUCAUUCGCCAUAUAUAACUUUUCACCAGCAAUUCCAGAUCCAGAAAUGAUUUUAACUGGCAGUUUGUAAUUAAAUAAAGACAGAAGGUCUGUAAGUUUCAUCUGCAUAUCUGCAUUUCUUCCGUGUGCUUUUGCUUUGCACGUAACUGUGUAAAAUCAGGACUUUUUCCAUGUGCACACACAUGGACAUUUCUGCUUUCAGAGCUGAUCAGAUCGGUAUUAUUUAGGUCACACUGAGUCAGGAAGGCUGUGCUGACGGAGCAGUGUUACUGAGGAGAGUGACUUAUUUUCCUGAGAGGGGAAAAUGUGAGCGUAAUGUGCAGCUAAAUGAGAUGAAGCCCAAAAGGAUUUAACACAAAAUCGCGCUUUUCUUCUGAUUUGUCUUUGGGUAAAGCUCUACAGGUCCUGGGAACUGAGGGAGCUCCAGAUGUCGAACACCUGCAGGAACUACUUGCAGGGAACUUUCUUCGUUAUCCCUCGGUCAUGACUGUGGAAUUUGAGUUUAUUUAACUUGUGGUCACUUAGCAGCACUCCCCACCAGAGAUGAGUCAGAUGCUGUGCCACCUCUCCCAAGGGAUACUGCUGCAGUUGGGUUCAGAAAAUUAAUGUCAUCCAUCCUGGCACAUGAAGCUUAGAUCGUUUUUUCCCAUGCCAUGAAGGGAGAACAUAAGGAGCUCCAUUAGCCCCAGCAGCCUUUCACUGCUUGUAGACCAAAAGCGGAGGUGCUAUCCAGAAUUCAAACCACAGGCCUCUGGAUAUCUCCUUCCUCUCCAAAAUUUGCAAUUACAGAAGAGGCCUUCCUUUAAAAACUGCAAUUACCUGUGUCAGUAACAUGCCAGCAGUCAGUAGGCUCUGCACCAGCUCCUGGGAAUGUCACAACUGACCACAUCUGGAAGCCUUUCUUCUGACUUCUGUGCUCCCAUGCAGUGAAUCCUGCUCCCACGGACAGCACGGCCUCAGUGUGGGGCAGCAGGCAGAGAUGGGAAGGGUGGACACUUGCCAUCCAAAGCUUUACGAGAAAGAGAACUAAAUACUAUCACCCUUUACUGUGCCUCCUUGAGCAGCCCCACCUGAUUCCCAGGAUUCUCUCACAAGAAGUUCUUCGUUUAUUUUUCUUGUAUUUUCUUGCUUGUUGCUGUUGUUUUAUUUGUUUUCUCUUUGCUUGGAUCAAAUUUUAGUUACCAGCUCACUCUGGGCAAACAUGCUUGGCCGUGUUCAUUGAUUGUCCUCCCUUUCAGCAGCACUGGCUGACAUGGGCCUGUCCACAUCAAAGGAGCUCCUGUGCAGCAGGGAUGCUGCUGGGACAUGCCCCCAUGGGAAGAAGACUGAGUGAGUGUCCACUCAGUGCUCACCACACCUGGAGUCACCUGCCUGUGGGAUGUCACCUGGGGCUGGUUUCCACCAGCACUGAGGAGGGCUUGGAUACUCUGUCCAUUAAGUUACAAAUUGCAUCUUAGAUUUGUGUCAGUACUAGUGCUACAGAAGAAUAGGGCUGGAAGGAAAAUUGUGUUUUUCCUUGAAUUCAUUGUGUAGGAAAAUAGGGAUUAUAAUUUCAGUCUGCUCACGCUACUGUCUUCAAUCAAGAAGCAAGGGUCCCCAAACUUUGAGAGAAAAAGAUAAAACCUGGUACUAAGUAUUUAUAUAGCAAGAUGCUCUUUAGGCAAAGUUCUUCCUAAAAUCAAACUUAGUUUUGCAUGUGAGGUUCAUGAAAGAUGAGCACAAAUCUUUUCUUCUGAUGGUUUCUUUGGUGACUUUUAAAAGGAAACAGUUGCAUCCUCCCAAAAAUGCAGUGAUGGCCUUAGAAAACUAUUUCACAAGAUGUCCACAAGUUAUGAAUAUUAUUUCACAGAAUAGUCACGAUCAAAAUGGCUUAAAGAUAAAGCUAAGCAUAGAUAUUUCUCUUUCCACAUACAUCUUAAAGCUUUCAGUGUCAGUUCUAGAUGGUGGCUUAACCAAACGAUCCUUACCAUAGUGUUAGCAAAGCAGUUUAAUGGCUGUGGUUCUUAGAAAUUAGUGUAUUCUGAAUUCAGCAUUCACAUGCAAUAAAGUUAAACACAUUUUCACUAA